rnacentral:rRNA from 1 species
AGUGAACGCUGGCGGCGUGCUUAACACAUGCAAGUCGAACGAGAACGGAAUAUAGCUUGCUAUAUUUGUCAGCUAAGUGGCGCACGGGUGUGUAAUGUAUAGAUAACCUGCCCUUAAGAAAGGAAUAACAGUUGGAAACGACUGCUAAUGCCCUAUAUGCCUUUAAUACAUAAGUAUGCAAGGGAAACGCUUUAGUGCUUAAGGAUGGGUCUGUAUGGUAUCAGCUUGUUGGUGAGGUAAUGGCUCACCAAGGCUAUGACGCCUAACUGGUUUGAGAGGAUGAUCAGUCACACUGGAACUGAGACACGGUCCAGACUCCUACGGGAGGCAGCAGUGGGGAAUAUUGCACAAUGGACGAAAGUCUGAUGCAGCAACGCCGCGUGGAGGAUGACACAUUUCGGUGCGUAAACUCCUUUUAUAUAGGAAGAUAAUGACGGUACUAUAUGAAUAAGCACCGGCUAACUCCGUGCCAGCCGCCGCAGUAA